AGAAGUUGAAGCAAAGUUGUGCCAGCAAAUAUCCGGGGGGCAGCUUUCAUAUUACACCUGGAACGUUCUCAGAGGUGGAGGCUCUUUCAAAGCGUGGGAUGCCAUGGCAACAGAUUGGAGAGGUCGCGGUUGAUCGGAACAAAGCGGUAUUUACGCUACAUUUGAUUGCUUAAUUGGGGUUCUUUAAAUUAUUAUUUGAGAAAACCGGCAGAUCUUUG